GACGAACGCUUGCGGCGUGCUUAACACAUGCAAGUCGAACGGAAAGGCCCUGCUUUUGUGGGGUGCUCGAGUGGCGAACGGGUGAGUAACACGUGAGUAACCUGCCCUUGACUUUGGGAUAACUUCAGGAAACUGGGGCUAAUACCGGAUAGGAGCUCCUGCUGCAUGGUGGGGGUUGGAAAGUUUCGGCGGUUGGGGAUGGACUCGCGGCUUAUCAGCUUGUUGGUGGGGUAGUGGCUUACCAAGGCUUUGGCGGGUAGCCGGCCUGAGAGGGUGACCGGCCACAUUGGGACUGAGAUACGGCCCAGACUCCUACGGGAGGCAGCAGUGGGGAAUAUUGCACAAUGGGCGGAAGCCUGAUGCAGCGACGCCGCGUGCGGGAUGACGGCCUUCGGGUUGUAAACCGCUUUCGCCUGUGACGAAGCGUGAGUGACGGUAAUGGGUAAAGAAGCACCGGCUAACUACGUGCCAGCAGCCGCGGUGAUACGUAGGGUGCGAACGUUGUCCGGAUUUAUUGGGCGUAAAGGGCUCGUAGGUGGUUGAUCGCGUCGGAAGUGUAAUCUUGGGGCUUAACCCUGAGCGUGCUUUCGAUACGGGUUGACUUGAGGAAGGUAGGGGAGAAUGGAAUUCCUGGUGGAGCGGUGGAAUGCGCAGAUAUCAGGAGGAACACCAGUGGCGAAGGCGGUUCUCUGGGCCUUUCCUGACGCUGAGGAGCGAAAGCGUGGGGAGCGAACAGGCUCAGAUACCCUGGUAGUCCACGCUGUAAACGGUGGGUACUAGGUGUGGGGUCCAUUCCACGGGUUCCGUGCCGUAGCUAACGCUUUAAGUACCCCGCCUGGGGAGUACGGCCGCAAGGCUAAAACUCAAAGGAAUUGACGGGGCCCCGCACAAGCGGCGGAGCAUGCGGAUUAAUUCGAUGCAACGCGUAGAACCUUACCUGGGUUUGACAUGGAUCGGGAGUGCUCAGAGAUGGGUGUGCCUCUUUUGGGGUCGGUUCACAGGUGGUGCAUGCCUGUCGUCAGCUCGUGUCGUGAGAUGUUGGGUUAAGUCCCGCAACGAGCGCAACCCUUGUUCACUGUUGCCAGCACGUUAUGGUGGGGACUCAGUGGAGACCGCCGGGGUCAACUCGGAGGAAGGUGGGGAUGACGUCAAGUCAUCAUGCCCCUUAUGUCCAGGGCUUCACGCAUGCUACAAUGGCUGGUACAGAGAGUGGCGAGCCUGUGAGGGUGAGCGAAUCUCGGAAAGCCGGUCUCAGUUCGGAUUGGGGUCUGCAACUCGACCUCAUGAAGUCGGAGUCGCUAGUAAUCGCAGAUCAGCAACGCUGCGGUGAAUACGUUCCCGGG
rnacentral:rRNA from 1 species